rnacentral:rRNA from 1 species
AGUGAACGCUGGCGGUAGGCCUAACACAUGCAAGUCGAACGGCAGCACAGUAAGAGCUUGCUCUUACGGGUGGCGAGUGGCGGACGGGUGAGGAAUACAUCGGAAUCUACUUUUUCGUGGGGGAUAACGUAGGGAAACUUACGCUAAUACCGCAUACGACCUACGGGUGAAAGCAGGGGAUCUUCGGACCUUGCGCGAUUGAAUGAGCCGAUGUCGGAUUAGCUAGUUGGCGGGGUAAAGGCCCACCAAGGCGACGAUCCGUAACUGGUCUGAGAGGAUGAUCAGCCACACUGGAACUGAAACACGGUCCAGACUCCUACGGGAGGCAGCAGUGGGGAAUAUUGGACAAUGAGCGCAAGCCUGAUCCAGCCAUACCGCGUGGGUGAAGAAGGCCUUCGGGUUGUAAAGCCCUUUUGUUGGGAAAGAAAAGCAGCAGGUUAAUACCCCGCUGUUAUGACGGUACCCAAAGAAUAAGCACCGGCUAACUUCGUG